GACGAACGCUGGCGGCGUGCUUAGCACAUGCAAGUCGAACGGUAAGGCCCUUCGGGGUACACGAGUGGCGAACGGGUGAGUAACACGUGGGUGAUCUGCCCUGAACUUCGGGAUAAGCCUGGGAAACUGGGUCUAAUACCGGAUAGGACCACUGCCUGCAUGGGUGGUGGGGGAAAGCUUUUGCGGGGUGGGAUGGGCCUGCGGCCUGUCAGCUUGUUGGUGGGGUGAUGGCCUACCAAGGCGACGACGGGUAGCCGGCCUGAGAGGGUGACCGGCCACACUGGGACUGAGAUACGGCCCAGACUCCUACGGGAGGCAGCAGUGGGGAAUAUUGCACAAUGGGCGCAAGCCUGAUGCAGCGACGCCGCGUGAGGGAUGACGGCCCUCGGGUUGUAAACCUCUUUCAGCACCGACGAAGCGCAAGUGACGGUAGGUGCAGAAGAAGGACCGGCCAACUACGUGCCAGCCGCCGCUGUAA
rnacentral:rRNA from 1 species